UACAGAGGUCUCAAGCGUUGUUCGGAAUCACUGGGCGUAAAGGGUGUGUAGGCUGCGUGUUAAGUCAGAUGUGAAAUCCCGGGGCUCAACCUCGGAACUGCAUCCGAUACUGGCAUGCUAGAGAAUUGGAGAGGAGUCUAGAAUUCACGGUGUAGCAGUGAAAUGCGUAGAUAUCGUGAGGAAUACCAAGUGCGAAGGCAGGACUCUGGACAUUUUCUGACGCUGAGACACGAAGGCCAGGGGAGCAAACGGG
rnacentral:rRNA from 1 species